GGACGACGAGCGUGUGUGCCCCAGCCCGUGCCACGGCCCACCGCCACUCGGGCCCGGAACCAGGGCCGUAUACCCUCAUGGCGCGCGAACAGACCGGCGCUCCCGUCACCGAAGACGGUUCUGCGAUUACGCUUGACCUGUAUCCCUCGCACAUGUUCGGCGAUGGAGAGAUAAGAUUUCUCAAAGAAUCUACACAAUGGAAAUGAGAAGAGAGACACUGUUCUGGAUUUCUCCUAAUUCGAGUUAUAGAGAUCUUCCGAGAGUCUAAUUCUUUCGACUACAUCCGGGAUAUAACUACUGCCACGAGCGUGUCACUUUGAAGUGACUUGUAAAGAUUUUUUUACCUGCAAGGGUCAAUGAUCGAUCGAUCUCGAAUAUCUUUACUUUCUCCGCCUGCGAUCCGCCUGCGUUGCUCAAUCACGUUUUUCCACGUUAUUAGCAUACUUUUUAUAAAACAUGAAAUUCGCGUGUACGUUCGAAAGUCUAUGGACACGCGCGACACGAUCUCCAUAUUCAUCAUUACAGUCUGUUUGUGAUCGCAAGGCGAAUGAGGAGGCAGAGGGGGGCCUUAACCGCAGGGCCUCGGGAGGACAGGAUACAUCCAACUGUUCCCAUCCGUUUCUUAUUCACCCGAUCGACUGCAGUCUGUACGAUCUCUCUCGCGGAUACCUGAUCCGCGUUAUUUCGAUACCUUCAGCUUGGGAUCACAAAUAGAAAAUUAAGCGUUUCUCACGCGCGGGUCUCACGAGUGAAAAGAGAUAAGCGUCUCUUUCUUUCAAAAGCCUGUCAUUAAUUUCCAAUCCUCCGCGACAAUCGGUCAAUCAUAUAAGCGGCAAUGUUUUUGAUCUUUCCGAAUUUUGAUUAAUGAGUCGACCUUAUCUAUGAUAGCUGUUUCGCAGAGAACCGGUGUGUAACGGCAAAUAACGGCUACUGCUUGUAUUUGCGCUACUUGUAUAAAUACAUCUGACACUAGCAUAAUACAAUUUGCAGGAAGAGUCUAGGACAUGCGUGACCCAUUCGCGAGAUGUGAUUACAUAUAUAAAUUCCUUGACAUCUACAGGCUACCGUUCAUAGGCAGAUCUUAUGUAACGCGACAUAUUAAUAACAUGCAGCCUGCAUGUUUGUCACAAUUUCUGCUCCUUAGGAGCGUCAUGCAAUUGCAUUUGUACAAGAAAAGCGCUGUCCUUUCAGACGCAAAUCGCAGCUGGCGAUCAUUAAAUACGUUGCAAUAAUAGAGAUCGGUUGUUAAUAAAUUAGUCGUCGGUGGCUCUCGAUUGAUGUAAUAAUUCAUUUCAGUUUGAGAGCACGAGAGUCGCCUGAAUGUUUCUACCAGCUGCGGUCUCACUCGCGAAAAACAGCUGGCGGUCACAAAGAACAAGAGUUGCAACAAUAAUCUAGUCGUAGAGUCUUAUUAAUAAAUGCUUGCUUAACUUUAUAUGGAAAAAGUUUAUCAUGCGAAUUUCACGUUGAUUUUUAAUUUAAGGUGACCUGCUUUCCGUCCAAAGCAUCGUUUCAGUCAAGACUUCGAUUAUGACAUUGGGAGACAAUGUAUUGAUGAGACAAUAUUUUUUUUUGCUGAAUCGCCGAAGCGUACGCUACAUUCUUGACGGAGAAGUUACGUCGAAGCGACCGUGCACGGUGAAUCGCUGCUGCAUUCCCAGACAUAACGGGUCGUCCAGCACGCAACCAGUAGAUCCAAAAUUGUCGGAAACUCCCCGGCCUCACAUGUUACACCGAAAGUUCCAAGCGAGUCAUUUUACGAACUUGGAUGUCUCUACUAUUUUAUGAUCAAGUCAUAUAAUAAUGUGACUUAAGCGGCCCUGAGAGAGACGAACGUCUUGUCAUUCGGUAUUGUGGAUCACGACCUCGCGAUGGUGGGGUGGCGGCGGAAAAAUUCAGGAAGCCGAAGAAAACGAUGACGUCGCAUAUGGGUCAGUGGGACGUCACGUGAAUGCGUGAAAUCGCAAGUCAACGACCUGCUCGAUGACCCGCUGACUUAGAGACACGCUUGCUUCGCAUGCCUGGGACGCGGAUGAACUCGAUCACCCUGUGUACAUUCUUGGAUGGCUUCCUUCUCGUCUGAAGGAAAAGUACGCAAAGCACGAAAAGUAGCAUAGAACGCUCAGAGGCACUUAUUACGGAAGAGUACGAUAAUUAUAUGCAUCCUCACGAACGAAGAAUUUCAUGGCGAGAGGAAAGAAAACACGCUUCAUAAUAACAUUAAAAUUCUAAAAUCGACUCGAACGGAAAUGGCAAUCUUUCGUGACGUCUUUUUUUUCGAAAUUUUCAGUCUUUUCGAUUAAAGUAAGAUAGUCCGUGAAAAAAAUUGUUUCCUUUUCGAAGGACCACGUUGUAUAUACCUAUAAUAGGAUUACUUCAGCAUACGUGUAUUGAGCAAGAUAAAAGGCGGAGAUUUUGCAAGCUGUCGUUUGCAGAUAUUGCAGAAGCUGUUUUUAAAAGUUACCACGAACCAUGAAGCAGACGCAAAGAAGAAUAUCGGAAGUCGCUUACGACACAUUUCCUCGAUCGCGCGCGAUAGUCAAUGGAAAUCGAGCCGCGGUGUAGUCUAACAGUAUUAAAGGUCAUCAGAAAAAUAACGCUUCGUAGCGUAACGUAGUGAAUGAUUUCCAUGAUAAGAUCACGCUCGUACCUACAUUGUGAAUUGUGCUCGCGCGCGCGUGAGAAAAAAGUAUGUAUAUUUUAUUUAUGAUUGAUGUGGCGAAGCAUGACAGAACGCAAGGCGAAUCCAAUGCCAAUGUGGACUAUUUAACUAUAUGUGUAAUACUUUUUUCUGAAUAUAAGCUAAUACUUAAAAAUUUAAUAACCCAUGUAUGUCUUUUCUGUAAAUUUGAAUUAAGAAAAAUUAUGAUUGGACACGUUAUAAUUAAGAGAGAAUAAAUCGAAUGAUUUAAUGUAGAUUAAUUGAUAACGCUACUCUUGUAUAUGCAAAGUCAAGGGAACAAUUAAGUGUCGAAAAAUCUUAAUAUCAUGUACAUAAGAUUGUGAAAAAACCGAAUUAUUUAUAUUAA